AUUGAACGCUGGCGGCAGGCCUAACACAUGCUAGUCGAGCGGAUGAAGGGAGCUUGCUCCUGGAUUCAGCGGCGGACGGGAGAGUAAUGCCUAGGAAUCUGCCUGGUAGUGGGGGAUAACGUCCGGAAACGGGCGCUAAUACCGCAUACGUCCUGAGGGAGAAAGUGGGGGAUCUUCGGACCUCACGCUAUCAGAUGAGCCUAGGUCGGAUUAGCUAGUUGGUGGGGUAAAGGCCUACCAAGGCGACGAUCCGUAACUGGUCUGAGAGGAUGAUCAGUCACACUGGAACUGAGACACGGUCCAGACUCCUACGGGAGGCAGCAGUGGGGAAUAUUGGACAAUGGGCGAAAGCCUGAUCCAGCCAUGCCGCGUGUGUGAAGAAGGUCUUCGGAUUGUAAAGCACUUUAAGUUGGGAGGAAGGGCAGUAAGUUAAUACCUUGCUGUUUUGACGUUACCAACAGAAUAAGCACCGGCUAACUUCGUG
rnacentral:rRNA from 1 species